CCAGACGGCCGGGCGGUCGCGGCGGGGGCUUGCUCCUGUCGAGGAAAGUCCGGGCUCCAUGGAAACACGAUGCCGGGUAACGCCCGGCGAGGGUGACCUCAGGGAAAGUGCAACAGAGAGCAGACCGCCUGAGCUUCGGUGCCGGUAAGGGUGAAAAGGUGCGGUAAGAGCGCACCGCGAGUCUGGCAACAGACCGGCACGGCAAACCCCACCUGGAGCAAGACCAAAUAGGGACAUCGCGCGGGGUUCGCUCUGCAGGGUUCACCGCCCCAGAUGUCCGGGUAGGUCGCGAGAGCCGUCCAGCAAUGGCCGGCCCAGAGGAAUGAUCGUCGCCGCUUUCGAGCGGAACAGAACCCGGCUUACAGGCCGUCUGGCGUU
rnacentral:RNase_P_RNA from 1 species